rnacentral:rRNA from 1 species
CAGAGGUCUCAAGCGUUGUUCGGAUUCAUUGGGCGUAAAGGGUGCGUAGGCGGCGCGGUAAGUCGGGUGUGAAAUCUCGGAGCUUAACUCCGAAACUGCAUUCGAUACUGCCGUGCUUGAGGACUGGAGAGGAGACUGGAAUUUACGGUGUAGCGGUGAAAUGCGUAGAUAUCGUAAGGAAGACCAGUGGCGAAGGCGGGUCUCUGGACAGUUCCUGACGCUGAGGCACGAAGGUCAGGGGAGCAAACGGGAUUAGAUACCCCGGUAGUCCUGACAGUAAACGGUGCACGUUUGGUGUGGGAGGAUUCGACCCCUUCUGCGCCGGAGCUAACGCGUUAAGCGUGCCGCCUGGGGAGUACGGUCGCAAGAUUA